UUUCCGGCUCCGACAGCCUCACUCCUUUCCCGGCGCUUGCGCUGCGCGCCUGUAGGGGCGGGGCGAAGCAAGCGACUGAGCUUGGCGGCUGCGGUGGCGGCGGAGCGGGAGAAGGAGCGGGACGCCAAGCACCCGGCCUUCUGCAACCUGGGGCCCUGAGCGAAGUGCUCCGCCACCUUUGCCUCCAGAAUCCCUGCCCAGAGUCCAGCGCCUCCUUCCUGUCCAGGAUCACCUUCUGGUGGUUCACAGGAGUUGUCUUGAAUCUGCCUGUGCUGGCCAUGUGGUCUCAGAGACACCAACUCUGUCCUGCAAGUUUAUCACCUUGAAUAUGAUAAACACAAGAGCCAUGAGCAGCUUAAAUCUCUACAGAAGGCUUGGCCUGGGAAAGCCGUACAGUGGACUGCUCUUGCUUUAGCUUCAGAUUUGGAUUUCUCUAAAGGAAGGCUAUUUCUUUGUUAUUCAGAGCUGUGUCCAAGGAACAGCACCAACACCACCAGAAGGGCCGAAUCCCACAGGUGCUGAAGGACAAUGUCCAUUUUCCAGAAGCUCUUCAACUAAUUCAUGAAAAUUUGGAUGCCCUGCUCUACACUAAUGUGCUUCCACAUUUACCUUAAUUACCCAUCUGGAACUUAGCCUCAAUUUCUUCCCUAUUAAGUCCCUGAAUUUAAUUCUGCAUUAUAAGCCAUAGUGUUUCUAAUAAACUUUUAAUCAGGCUAUACCUUCUCUAACUUCCUCUCCAUAAAUCACAUGACACUAUUCAAUUACGUUACUUUGGCCUAUAUGAUACUAUCCGAUGAAGUUAUAACAUUUUCUAUAAAACUAAAUUAUGGCCAUACAUGGCUGACCAUUUAGGGUGAUAUUCAUCUGUGGUAGAUAAAACAGGUCUGUGUUGUGAGGUACCUCAAUUUUUAAUGCCUCUCCAAUAGUGAGAAUGACAGCAAGAGCAGGAAGAUGAUACUCUAAUUCUCUUGACAUAUUUUGGCGCUGGAAGCUGAUGUUACCUUCUUUCCUAUUUCUGUCACCUGCUCUUCCCUCUACAAAUCAAUUUGACUUUACUACCCUCCUUUACAUACACCACAUACUAUUUCUUCAUUUAUUCCAUGUACACUCUGCCCCCCUCAUUCUUUCUCUUUCAUUUCCUCUUCCCUGUUUCCUGACUUGCCUCAGAUCUUGAGAGUAUCUUAAAAUGGGAACUAAUAAUUCAGCUCCUUUAGUGGUACUCUAAUAGACUCAACUGCUGACCCCUGAUUAGAUACACAACUUAUCACCAUUUUACUUCUCUUUUACUUAUUGUAUAUUUAAUAUAACACUUUCUUUAGCUAUUUGAAUAUAUUAGUGCUCAUAUUUUUUAAAAAUUCCAUCAAAUGCCUUAUUAAAAUAGUAUUCUUACCUUUUUAUGACUAUACUGGUCUUGUUUUGUUUCCAUUGGAAGGUCUAGGUUAAAGGCUCUGACACUUUGUUGGGGACACACUGUUGAGGCAAUAUCAAGCAUGAGUUUCUGUUUAAAA